GCUCGCGUAGCUCAGAGGAUUAGAGCAUUGUACUUAUGAGGCUACCUGAAUGCAAGGGUCGGCGGUUCGAUCCCGUCCGUGAGCA